GGAAAGAUAUGAUCUGCUGGUGAAUGCCUACCAGAACGGCGGAUCCCGAUUCACAGCGAAUCUCUUCGGCUUUAGGCCUGAUGCAUUCUACUUUUACGAGCCGCUUUGGCGAUUCUCUGAGCAGGAGUACUUCCGGUCGCCUGGCACCGUCUGCAGCAUUCUUAACAACACGUGCAGGGAACUAGGAUUGGCUGCUGUAAACCGUGCACGCGACCUUAGGGACAUGAAGCAGCUGGUGGCUGAAGUACCCAUG